rnacentral:rRNA from 1 species
AACGAACGCUGGCGGCGCGCCUAAUACAUGCAAGUCGAGCGAGAAGGUGUAGCAAUACACUUGUAAAGCGGCGAACGGGUGAGGAAUACAUGGGUAACCUACCCUCGAGUGGGGAAUAACUAGCCGAAAGGUUAGCUAAUACCGCAUACGAUUCCAGGACUUCGGUCCUGGAAGGAAAGCACUACCGUGGGUAGUGCGCUCCUGGAUGGGCUCAUGUCCUAUCAGCUUGNGGUGAGGUAAAGGCUCACCAAGGCUUCGACGGGUAGCUGGUCUGAGAGGACGAUCAGCCACACUGGCACUGCGACACGGGCCAGACUCCUACGGGAGGCAGCAGUAAGGAAUAUUGCGCAAUGGGCGAAAGCCUGACGCAGCGACGCCGCGUGGGGGAGUGAAGGUCUUC